ACCGGCAAACGGGUGCGGAACACGUACGCAACCUUCCUUUAACUGGAGAAUAGCCCGGGGAAACCCGGAUUAAUACUCCGUAACAUUAUGAAGUGGCAUCACUUUAUAAUUAUAGCUCCGGCGGUUAAAGAUGGGCGUGCGUCUGAUUAGGUAGUUGGCGGGGUAACGGCCCACCAAGCCUACAAUCAGUAACUGGUGUGAGAGCACGACCAGUCACACGGGCACUGAAACACGGGCCCGACUCCUACGGGAGGCAGCAGUAAGGAAUAUUGGUCAAUGGACGCAAGUCUGAACCAACCAUGCCGCGUGGAGGAUGAAGGUCCUCUGGAUUGUAAACUUCUUUUAUUUGGGAAAAAACCCACCAUUUCUAUUGUGGUUGACGGUACCAGAUGAAUAAGCACCGGCUAACUCCGUGCCAGCAUCCGCGGUAAUACGGAGGGUGCAAGCGUUAUGCGGAUUCACUGGGUUUAAAGGGGGCCUAGGCGGGCAGGUAAGUCCGUGGUGAAAUCUCCUAGCUUAAGUUGGAAACUGCCGUGAA
rnacentral:rRNA from 1 species